rnacentral:rRNA from 1 species
CUGCUAUCACUCUUGGAUGGGACCUGCGGUGCAUUAGCUAGUUGGUAGGGUAACGGGCCUACCAAGGCGAUGAUACAUAGCCCGAGUUGAGAGACUGAUCGGCCACAUUGGGGACUGAGACACGGCCCAAACUCCUACGGGAGGCAGCAGUAGGGAAUCUUCCACAAUGGACGCAAGUCUGAUGGAGCAAACGCCGCGUGAGUGAAGAAGGGUUUCGGCUCGUAAAGCUCUGUUGUUGGUGAAGAAGGACAGGGGUAGUAACUGACCCUUUGUUUGACGGUAAUCAAAUUAGAAAGUCACGGCUAACUACGUGCCAGCAGCCGCGAUAAAU